UGCAGGGGCUUCCGACUGCUCAGUGCCUUU
rnacentral:piRNA from 1 species